rnacentral:rRNA from 1 species
UGGGGAAUAUUGGACAAUGGGGGAAACCCUGAUCCAGCAAUGCCGCGUGAGUGAAGAAGGCCUUCGGGUUGUAAAGCUCUUUCGCUUGUGAAGAUAAUGACGGUAACAAGAUAAGAAGUCCCGGCUAACUCCGUGCCAGCAGCCGCGGUAAGACGGAGGGGACUAGCGUUGUUCGGAAUGACUGGGCGUAAAGGGUGCGUAGGCGGCUCUUUAAGUAAGGCGUGAAAGCCCCGGGCUUAACCUGGGAAUUGCGCUUUAAACUGAGGGGCUUGAGAAUGGAAGAGGAAAGCGGAAUUCCUAGUGUAGGGGUGAAAUCCGUAGAUAUUAGGAAGAACACCAGAGGCGAAGGCGGCUUUCUGGUCCAUUACUGACGCUGAGGCACGAUAGCGUGGGGAGCAAAAAGG